CUUGAGUAGUAAUAGUUAUGUUCUUGAAACUCAAAGAAUUUGGCGGUGUUUUAGUCUUUUCAGAGGAACCUGUCCCGUAAUCGAUAAUCCACGUUAAACCUUACUUAUUUUUGUUAACAGCUUGUAUACCGCCGUCGUCAGAAUGUCCUAAGAAGGGUUAAAUUUUCUUAAAUUUUUAUUAAAAAUGAUGUCAGGUCAAGGUGUAGCUUACGAAUAAGUGGAGAUGGGUUACAAUAAAUGUAUUUAUAACGGAUAAAAUUUUGAAAUAAAUUUUUGAAGGUGGAUUUGAUGGUAAUUAACUUAAUUAAAUUAAUUUGAUUUUAGCUCUAAAACAUGCACACAUCGCCCGUCGCUCUUA
rnacentral:rRNA from 1 species